rnacentral:lncRNA from 1 species
GUGACAGGCGGAGAAACUGAGUGUCAGAGAAAGUCUGAGCCCCGCGCCAGGUCACGGGGAGCCCGGCGGGCUACAGCCCCUGGCAGGUGCAGAGGGAAAGAUGGACAGCUUGCACGGAAUCCAGACUUUGGGCAACGGAGGCGGGGCUUUGCCAGGGAAGGCUGCUUCACACAGUCCCGGGCCCCGGGGACAAGCUGGCAAAGCAUCCCUCAGCUGAGGAGGUACACGAGAGGGCCAUGUCCCAGAAGCCCUGAGAUGCUCCAAGCCCUGGUCUUCAGGGACAGCCAGA